rnacentral:lncRNA from 1 species
AUCAAUCAACCAUUUAUUGAGCCCAGAUGUGGUACAGCCCCAGCCGGAGAUGACCCAGAGGUGGGGUGGGGAGGAGAGAGAUGGGGAAGCUGAGUCCGGGGCCACAGGUGCAGCCAGGAGGUGCAGGUGAGCAGCGCUCAGACCAGCCUGUCAGCCUCAGUCCUGAGCUUACUUCUGGUGAUGGAGGGAGAUAUACAGAAAAGAUCCUGCAGCCUGCAGGUGUGGCACAGCUGAUCUUGGGCCAAGGAUGCACAGCUGUGUGUGUGCCUGGCCACCGGCAAGGGCACGUGGGCUCAGAAGCACAGGUGUGCCCACACCCUGCGUGCCUGUGUGUGGCGCAGCAGCUCCCGACGCGCGCAGGACACACACACAGCACAGACAGACCCUCCCAUGGCCACACGGACAAAGAUGGCUUCACUAUAGACACCGGUGCAGACAGGAUGUGCACUGCUUUCCAAGGCCUGUGCGCAACACAGACUCAGGGCCUGUGGGCAUCAGCACCGCCCAGACCCAGGCACACGUGAUCCUCAGCCAAGGUGGCCUGUCCAGUCCUGGUGCUGUUGGAUGGAAAGGCUAACCUGGGAGGUCAGGGGCUGUGGUAUAUCAGCUGGGCUCCCUCGGACGCUCCUGCAGAAGUGGCCAGGACCUCAGGAACGCACCUGCUCCUGGUCAGACAGGAGGGGCUGCCGUGAUGCAACUUGCCCGUGCCUUUGGGUGCUGUGAGCUGGCUGCGUGCCACGUCGUUUCGAGGACGCAAGAAGGUGUUUCCAAGUCCAGUCUGUCCACCGACCUGAACCUUUACCAUUGAAAGAACAAAGGGGUGGGGCCCGAGGGACCCUUCCCUGCCGUCCCGUGGUGUGUAGUCAGGGAUGCUCCUGCAGACACACAGGUGGGCUCUGACUGCCAGAUCGCAGGGGCGGUGCCGUGGUCCUCACCUGCCAUGUCACUAGCGUGCUGACGCAGACACCGGCGAGAGCUACAGUGCUCGGCCCGGCACAUCCCAGACAAUUCCUCUGUAAAUGCUGCAGCAGCCAGAGGCCCCAGCACCUUGAGGUUAAGCAAAGAGAAGGAAUAGAGUUCUCCAGAGCCCCAAGGAGCGGGAGGGUCUGUCCCAAUGGAUGGGCUCAGCCAAUUUCACCCUCUCCUCCCCCUGCCAACACUGCGGCCUGCAGCCUGGACCUGGCCCGGGUUGUGGAGGGGACCGGGGAUGCAGCUGCCACCUGCUGGGCGGACGUGGGCCUAGGUGGUCCUCAGCCCUCAUGACAGGAGCCCCCGAAGCACUGUUGCGGCACCCUCUCUGACAUUGGGUGGGAGACUCUGGGAGCCGAGUGCAGAGCCAGGGCCCAGCACGAAGGCCUUGGGCUCCAGUCCGUGUGCCCCACAUCCCUACAUGAGUGAGGGUGGAGGGAUGGUGCCUCUGCCACGGCCACGGUGCCGCCGUCCACGUCAGCUCACUCUCAGCACAGGUGCUGUGUGACGGCCUCGGGCCACACCGCUUGUUCUGAGGCCCCUAGCAGGUCGGGCUUGUGCUGGCUGCACAUUGGCUGGUGAGCUUGGCGGGUCUGUGGGCACGGAGAGACCAGAACGUGCGUAACAGGCCCGAUGAGGGUGCCAGGCUGUGGCGACCCCCGAGCUUCAGAGGAGAGGGGCACCAGCCGGGGGCCCUGCACAGGCAGCCUCAGGUGCGAGGAGCUGGAGCCCAGGCCAGCUGGGGAGGGGUGGGGUGCCGUGGCUGGAAGUUGCUGUUCUCAGACCUGGUUCUGAGACCCUCUCCAACUGCAUGGGGGGGUCCAGGCUGGACCCCAGAUGUGACGGUGUAUGUGCUGGGAUGGGAGCCCCCUGAGAGCAGGGCUUUUGUUAAUUCACCGGCAAUCCCACAUGUCUGGCACGAGAUAGGUGCUCAGUCAGUGAAAACCACACACGGGGUCCUCCAUUGUGUCCAGGGGAGGGUGGGCCCUGCUCACAGCCAGACUCCUAGCCCUGGGCAGCCCUGCUGCCUGCCUGCUCCUUCCACUCCUACCACCUGCCCAGGUGGGACUCUGCCUGCCUUCCUGUCCCCAGUGCUCUGUAGGAGUUUGACCACAGGUAUCCUCUUCAUCAGAGAGAGGAAAGCUCACGAUCUGGGAGAACUCCAGGCCUGGCCCAGUGAAGACGUCCUUAUCUUCAGCAGACAUUGCCCAGUGCAAGGGGAGGUCAGUCUCAGGAGACAGUCUCCUGGACAGUGGCGUGGCAUCUGUCCUAAGGCCUUGCCUGCAGCACAGGGUGCCACAGAGGUCCCCUGUGACAGAGCCUCAUGGCUGGGGCAGGCGGGGGUCGCACCUGCUCCUGCAUGAAGAGGCAGAUAAAGACCCACAGCAUGGUCUCUGGGGUCCCACAUCCCAGGUAGAGAAUGACCCAGGUCGCUGGCGUCUGUGCCAUCUCUGCUCCACUGACCACUCAUGGGGGUCCUGGAGAUCCUGACACCGGUGGCCGGGGAGCAGCAGCCCAGGCACAGGCCCCAGUGCACAUGCAGAUCCCACCGUGUCUGCACAAGGCCUUGCCCCAACGAGGCCUGGGUGCCGUGUGAGGGCCGGGACGCUAACACAGCGGAGGGUACCCACGCGUGAGCUGCUCUGGGGUCCCUCCCCGUGUUUCUUCCUGUAAUGAAACUUGUACCCAAAUGGGAUAUGCAGGGUUGCACUGUGCAGUCGCUGUGUGUUUUAGGGUCUCAUACCCGUGUGCGCCAGCAGGACCACAGCUGUGACCGGCUGCUCCAGAAGAAGUGGGUGGGUUGAGACCCCACCGGCAGGGUCACUGGGGGUAGCAGGCCCUCUGUCAGCACUGACUUCUGUAUCAUGUCAGGGAUUUUUAGGGCGGCAAGCUCAGGUGGACAGGCAGUUUUAUUCUGUUUCCCAUGUCAAGUCCAGCCCCAGACUGACUUUCUGAGGUCACAGACGGAGCCUCACCCCAUCCAAGGCGGUGUCCUGGACUCCCACUGUGCUCCCCAGAGGGCAGGGUGAGUGCGUGGCAUCCUUUUGGCGGGCGUGGGUGCCUCUGUGGACCUGGCGUGAGGCUUCUCUGUUUCUGAGUCUCCUAUGGACCAUCUGUCUUCUGUGUGGCUGCUGAGGAAUCACACUGGGGUGGCCGUGCCGGUGGCUGAAUGAGAACAGGACCCCCAUGCUGCACAGCCCUGCUUAACGCGGGGGUGGCCCCAGAAGCGGGUGGGCGAGGCUGGGCAGCAGGGAUUGGCUGAAAUCAUAUGCAGAGCCCAAGAGGCAGGGGAAAGGCGGCAAUUUCAGGGUCCCUUUGUUCGCCAGGUACCUGGGGCCCAGCCCGGGCGGCAGGAGGGACUCAGCCCCUCGCCCAGGCAGGAAGGGUCCCAAGCAGAGGCCCCUCCCUCAGGCACUCCCCAGCCCACACCUGCAGCACUGGGACCAAGACUAAUAAAACACCAGCCUCACGGAAGACAGCUUUAUCUUGUUGAUCGGAAGUCUGCCAGCCCAAUUUAUGAUGGAACAUAAGAUCUCUAAAUCUGAAUUUACGCUCUGUAGCGUAACGAGAGGUCAAUAAGAUUAAACGGGGGCUCAGGAGAGGACCAGCGUCAGGCUCACUGCGAGGUGCUGCACAGAAAACCCACAGCCAGAGCCCCUGGGCCCAGCCCAGGCAAGACCAGAAAAGGAGGGGGCAGGUGGGAGACCAGCCUGGGGCUCCCGGGAAGCCCACGGGAUGGAGGCGGGAGAGCCAGGAGGCCUGGGGCAACCCUGGGACGGUUCCUGGAUCGAGGAGAGCAGGGGGGUGAUGAGGGUUCCCUCAGGGCUGGGGAGCCUUCUCCUGGUCUCAGACCCACCCCCCUUCAGCUCCCAAGCCCUGGGUGCCCCUGGCUCUGAGGACAGUUGGGAAUCUUCCCUGAGGCAGGUUCAAGGACAGAGCUCUGACCCUGGCCCAGGGCUGCUUUGGGUGCCUAUGAACUCGGCUUCUGGCUCAGAGCAGUUCCCUGCACCCCUUCCUGAGCCCUCUGUCCUCUGGAACCCGUGGGCAGGGUGAGGGACGGGUGUUCCUUCUGGGUGGGGGCCUGGGCGCCCAGCCAGCACGACGCUGGCUUGCUGAGCUUAGGGCAGACCCCGACUUCAGAAUUUAUACAAAUAAAUGCAAUGAAAAGUGCUGGCAACCUGA